rnacentral:ribozyme from 14 species
AGAUACGAAAAGAAAUGAAAACAACUCAAAGUACACUGAUACAAACACAAAUCAAAACCUAUUUCAUUUUAAAUAUUUUUUUCCCAUUUCUACUUGGCUAUUGUUGUUGUUGUUAUUAUUCUUUUCUGCUUUUCAAUUGUGUGUUUUUGUUUUCUGUGGGAAAUCUGAGAGGGCACUAAUAACAAUUUCCGGUUGUUUAUGACAGUAGGGGAACCACUAUUUUCUUUUUUCUUUUUUUCUUCUGG